AUUGAACGCUGGCGGCAGGCCUAACACAUGCAAGUCGAGCGGAUGAAGGGAGCUUGCUCCUGGAUUCAGCGGCGGACGGGUGAGUAAUGCCUAGGAAUCUGCCUGGUAGUGGGGUAUAACGUCCGGAAACGGGCGCUAAUACCGCAUACGUCCUGAGGGAGAAAGUGGGGGAUCUUCGUACCUCACGCUAUCAUAUUAGCCUAGGUCGGAUUAGCUAGUUGGUGGGGUAAAGGCCUACCAAGGCGACGAUCCGUAACUGGUCUGAGAGGAUGAUAAGUCACACUGGAACUGAGACACGGUCCAGACUCCUACGGGAGGCAGCAGUGGGGAAUAUUGGACAAUGGGCGAAAGCAUGAUAAAGCCAUGCCGCGUGUGUGAAGAAGGUCUUCGGAUUGUAAAGCACUUUAAGUUGGGAGGAAGGGAAGUAAGUUAAUACCUUGCUGUUUUGACGUUACCAACAGAAUAAGCACCGGCUAACUUCGUG
rnacentral:rRNA from 1 species